rnacentral:snoRNA from 1 species
AGCCUCCAGUUCCCUUUCCCAUUGGAUCUGAAUGCUAGUCUUGGAGGUCAUAAAGGAGGAAAAUAGGCCGGGGACACAGCUCAGCGGCAUACGCGCCUGCCUGGCAAGUGCAAGGUCCUGAGUUCGAUUCCUGGUACCAAAAAAAA